rnacentral:snRNA from 1 species
AUACUUACCUUGCAGGGGAGAUACCAUGAUCAUGAAUGUGGUUUUCUCAGGCUGAGGCUUAUUCAUUCCACUUCAGAUGUUCUGACCUCUGUGAUUUUCCCCCAAAUGCAUGAAAGUUGACCACACAAUUUGUAGUAGUGGGGGACUACAUUCAUGUCCUCCCCCA